UUUAUUCUAUUAAUAUUUAGCUAAAUUUUGAAUCUAGAGAAGGUUCAAAUGGAUAUUUGGCGGAGAUGCGGGGACCGCUGUGUUGCAGGGAGCGAUGGCGGGAUGUUGCGAAGCUCGCAAGGUGCGUCUACCAACGCACGAGGAGAUCGGGGGCAUGAGGCAUGCCGCUCCGGACAGCAAUUUUUUCUUGGCUUCCCGAGAUACCUGAGACCUCCCUCCAUCCAUGCACUGUCGAUUCCAUAACCUGUACUCGAAAUGUGUCAUCGCUUAUUUCACUUGCUUCGUUUCCACACAACGUCAUGGCCUCCGAGGUGAUCGACCUGAGGGUUUCGUCUUCAAUGAUUGCAUGUUCACAUCUCUCGCUGACGGAGAAUAAUCUUAGAGCUUCGCAGCUUGUCGAUCCAUUUGUGAGAGAAAUGCGGCGGUAAAAGUUUGGGAGGAUUGAGAGCACUUUGAGUUUGAUUGCAAGAACUUGCGGUGGUCAAAUGAGAAGAUGACGGUUGGAGAGUGCAGGAGAACACGUAUUGCUCGAGAGGCACGCGCAUCUGUACCCUAACACUCAGCAUACUAACUAAAGAAAAACUUUGGUUCCCGACAUGGGGUCUGGACCUUGUUCGUCAUCGUUGUCGACAACCCCUUGCGGACCCGCCAACAUUUCAGCAAGGCAUGUGCAGAGCGAUGGCCGUGCGUAUUAGUUUUGCGUCUAGAUGGACAACGGUAUGGAAAAGUUGUUGAUCUCACUGUAACGGAACUGUACCGGAAAUGGCAGCAUUCAUUUGUUGGGGAGUGGAAUCUUUAAUUAUGCGAAACAGCCUGUGAGAUGAGACAGAAACUAUCAAAAACGACAUGUGUCAUGUGACGAGGCACCAAGUGAACGCUAGCCGUUAAAAUUACAAGACAAAUUAAGGAACCAUGAGCGAAGGAGAGGAAAUAGACCUGAAUUUAGGUACCUUGGGCCUUCAGGAAACCCGC
rnacentral:lncRNA from 1 species